rnacentral:rRNA from 1 species
GUGAACCUGCGGAAGGAUCAUUACCGAGUUUUCGAGCUCCGGCUCGACUCUCCCACCCUUUGUGAACGUACCUCUGUUGCUUUGGCGGCUCCGGCCGCCAAAGGACCUUCAAACUCCAGUCAGUAAACGCAGACGUCUGAUAAACAAGUUAAUAAACUAAAACUUUCAACAACGGAUCUCUUGGUUCUGGCAUCGAUGAAGAACGCAGCGAAAUGCGAUAAGUAAUGUGAAUUGCAGAAUUCAGUGAAUCAUCGAAUCUUUGAACGCACAUUGCGCCCCUUGGUAUUCCGGGGGGCAUGCCUGUUCGAGCGUCAUUACAACCCUCAAGCUCUGCUUGGAAUUGGGCACCGUCCUCACUGCGGACGCGCCUCAAAGACCUCGGCGGUGGCUGUUCAGCCCUCAAGCGUAGUAGAAUACACCUCGCUUUGGAGCGGUUGGCGUCGCCCGCCGGACGAACCUUCUGAACUUUCUCAAGGUGAC